UUUUCUUUAAAAUUUUCCAUUUUAAGUUGGUUAUUUUUUAUUUAUAUAUAACAGCAAAUAAUAAUGAUAUGGUUUGAUUUCAUCAAAAAUUGAAACAUUGGGGUUCUUUGAUAUGCUGAAUCUAACCGUGUAUUUAGAUUCUUAAUUUUUGGUCCCAUUUUCAAAUUGGUCUACAUUAAGGUCCAAAGGGUCCAAAAUUAAACUUAGUUUGAUUUUAACAAAAAUUGAAUUCUUGGGGUUCUUUGAUAUGCUGAAUCUAACCAUGUAUUUAGAUUUUGGAUAUUGGACCAUAAUAAGUAAAUUAAAAAAAUUUAAGUUCUUAGACCACAUUCAUUCUGUGUCAGAAACCUAUGCUGUGUCAAAUAUUUAAUCACAAUCCAAAUUCAGAGCUGUAUCAAGCUUGAAUGUUGUGUCCAUACUUGACCCAACUCUUCAGGGUUCGACCUCUGCGGUCGUAUCAAGCUGCGCCCAGAGGAGCAUUUUAUUUCAUUUGCUACUAGCCAUAAUGUAUGGUUUUUGCAACCUUUAAUUUUUUAUGAAGAAAUUAUCAAGUUGACAUUUAAGUGUUAAACAACAUUUUAUUUGAUUAAAUUUAUUAGAUUUAGUAAAAAAUAUUUGAAAAGGUCAGGGUUGUAAGAGAUGUGUUUAAAAUUAUAAACUGUAUUAUAUAUUGAACUUUUUUUUAACAAAUUAUCUGUUGCUAAUGAAUUCCGAUGUAUUCAACUUUGAAUUUGUGGUAUAGUCAAACCUGGGUAAAUCAGACCCUGAAUAAACUGGCUUCCUACAUCCAUUCUGGCUGAAGUCCCAUUAUUUCCCCUUCAAUUCCUUCGCAAUAAUACCAUCUUAAAACCAGAUCCUGUGUAUUCCGAAUUCCAAUCUUAUUAUGCAGCCCCAACACAAUUAAUUGCAUUAAAAGUAACCUGUCAGAUAUAAUUUAACAGUGACUAUUGAUCCAGUAUUGAUCGAUGUGCACUCAAAACAAAGUUACUUACACAAGAAUGAUCCUUUAGAGUAUAAAACUAGUAAAGACAAACAUGAGUUUAUUGUAGUCAACUGUUUUUACACACACAAUUAUGUUGUCAUCUAAAAAAUAAGUUAGCUCAAACAAGAAAUGUAGAAUUUAUGUAUGCCAAAAAGAGAAAAAAGGAUUAUGAUAACAAUCUAAAUACACUGUCGAUGAAAAGGUAUUUUAUUCAGGAAUCUUAGGAAAUCCCUAAGAAAACGCAGAAAGAUUUUGCAUUACAGUUUGCGAUUGGAAAAAAAAACUGUCUGACACUUUAAGAGAAGUGAUAAAUGUAAGACAAUUUAUAUGGACAAUAAACUUGAGAAUGUUUUGACUUAAGUAGUCUUUGUUUUGAGUGCACAUCGAUCAAUACUGUAUCAUUAUUCACUGUUAAAUGAAUUUAGAAAAGUUACUUUUACUGCAAUUAAUUGUAUUGGGGCUGCAUAGUAAGAUUGGAAUUCAAAAUACACAGGAAACCAGUUUAUUCAGGGUCCGGUUUACCCAGGUUUGACUGUACCACAAAUUUAAAAUUGAAUACUUGUGAAUUCAUCAGCAAAAGCUUAUUUGUGAGAAAGAAAAAAAAAUAAAAUUUAAUAUCAGUACAUAAGUUUUAAGAUAUUUCUUAUAAGACCCUGACCUUUUCAAAAUAUUUUCACUAAAUCUAAUAAACCUAAUUUAAAAAAAAGGGUUGUUUAACACUUAAAUGUCAACUAGAUAAUUUUCUUCAAAAAAAAGUUUUAAGGUGGCACAAGCCAAGUCUAAUAAAAAAAAAAAGUUUUAAGGUGGCACAAGCCAAGUCUAAUAAAAAAAAAGUUUUAAGGUGGCACUAGCCAAGUCUAAUAAAAAAAAAAGUUUUAAGGUGGCACAAGCCAAGUCUAAUAAAAAAAAAAGUUUUAAGGUGGCACAAGCCAAGUCUAAUAAAAAAAAAAGUUUUAAGGUGGCACAAGCCAAGUCUAAUAAAAAAAAAGUUUUAAGGUGGCACAAGCCAAGUCUAAUAUAAAAAAAAAAGUUUUAAGGUGACACAAGCCAAGUCUAAUAAAAAAUAAAGUUUUAAGGUGACACAAGCCAAGUCUAAUAAAAAAAAAGUGACACAAGCCAAGUCUAAUAAAAAAAAAAGUUUUAAGGUGACACAAGCCAAGUCUAAUAAAAAAAAAAUUUUAAGGUGGC